rnacentral:rRNA from 1 species
UACGGAGGAUCCAAGCGUUAUCCGGAUUCACUGGGUUUAAAGGGUGCGUAGGUGGAAUGACAAGUCAGUGGUGAAAACCUGCAGCUUAACUGUAGAACUGCCAUUGAUACUGUUAUUCUUGAGUACAUUUGAUGUGAGUGGAAUGUGUCGUGUAGCGGUGAAAUGCUUAGAUAUGACACAGAACACCAAUUGCGAAGGCAGCUCACAAAACUGUAACUGACACUGAGGCACGAAAGCGUGGAGAUCAAACAGG